rnacentral:tRNA from 2 species
AAAAAGGUAAGCUAAUAUUAAGCUUUUAGGUUCAUACCCUAAUUAUAGAUUCAAAAUCUCCUUUUUA